rnacentral:misc_RNA from 1 species
AAUACGUUUUGGUUCUGAGCUGGCGUUUACGCACUGUGCUCGUCCAUACUAUUUAUCUUCUCUUGUGCACCUUUUGUAGUCUUCAAAGUCGAAAAGUGAACCUCUCGCAGCAAUGCGGUUUGGGGGACUUAGAGCUAACACCUCUUUCCCCUGCCUUGCUUUUUGGCUUUCGAAGGCUAUGUUUUCAUAUACACUAUAAAGUUACAGAAUGUCUUUUAACGAUCCUUAAAAAGAUCAUUAAACCUAUACAACUUUCAGCAACGGAUCUCUUGGCUCUCCCAUCGAUGAAGAACGCAGCGAAAUGCGAUAAGUAAUGUGAAUUGCAGAAUUCAGUGAAUCAUCGAAUCUUUGAACGCACCUUGCGCCCUUUGGUAUUCCGAAGGGCAUGCCUGUUUGAGUGUCAUUAAAUUAUCAACCUUUCUCGCUUGUUCGCAGGUUUGAGUUAGGCUUGGAUGUGAGGGUUUUUNGCUGNCUUCCUUCNNUGNAUGNNCUGCUCCCUUG